UACAGAGGGGGCAAGCGUUGUUCGGAAUUACUGGGCGUAAAGGGCGCGCAGGCGGCCUUCUAAGUCGAACGUGAAAUCCCUGGGCUCAACCCAGGAACUGCGUCCGAUACUGGGAGGCUUGAAUCCGGGAGAGGGAUGCGGAAUUCCAGGUGUAGCGGUGAAAUGCGUAGAUAUCUGAAGGAACACCAGUGGCGAAAGCGGCUUCCUGGUCCAGUACCGACGUUCAGGCGCGAAAGCGUGGGGAGCAAACAGG
rnacentral:rRNA from 1 species